rnacentral:rRNA from 1 species
UACGGAGGGGACUAGCGUUGUUCGGAAUUACUGGGCGUAAAGCGCGCGUAGGCGGUUUUGCAAGUCGGGGGUGAAAGCCCGAGGCUCAACCUCGGAACUGCCCUCGAUACUGCAAAUCUCGAGUCCGAGAGAGGUGAGUGGAAUUCCUAGUGUAGAGGUGAAAUUCGUAGAUAUUAGGAAGAACACCAGUGGCGAAGGCGGCUCACUGGCUCGGUACUGACGCUGAGGCGCGAAAGCGUGGGGAGCAAACAGG